CAGGUCGGACAGCCGCGGACGGAGGCCGAAAGGCCCCGGAUGAGGAAAGUCCGGGCUCCACAGGGCAGGGAUAACGGGUAACGCCCGCCGAGGGUAACCUCAGGACAAGUGCAACAGAGAGAUACCGCCCAUUCUUUGGAAUGAGUAAGGAUGAAAAGGUGGGGUAAGAGCCCACCCGGCCCAUGGUAACAUGGGUUUUACGCUGUAAACUCUAUCCCGGAGCAACGCCGUGGAGGAACACAAGGUCUGCCCGACCGUUCCGAGGAGGCGGCUUGAUCCCGUGAGCAAUUGCGGGGCUAGAUAGAUGGCUGUCAAGACAGAACCCGGCUUACAGACCUG
rnacentral:RNase_P_RNA from 1 species